AAUUAGGGUACUCCUAAGCUGGCUUUUGCCAGCUCUCGAGCCGGUUUGCCUACCACUGCCCUACCAACUGAUUUACCAGCCAGGGCUCAGUCAACAAGUUUUUAAUAGACAGUUUUGUAAACUAGCAUUUUCAUUCCUUGAUACUAGCUGUUAUAAAGAGAAUCCAGGAGCCUAAAUUAAAUAAAAAAUGAUCAUAUUUUUAUGUCAGGGAAUUGUCUAUGUUGCUGCUUUCUCUUAUUCCCUAGCCAGUUGGUACUCAGGGAAUAGAAACUGAUUUUUAUAUAGUAUUUGAUGAGACAUAAGUGAGGAAAUAAUCAUAGACAACUGUUACAGGUUUUUUGACUGUGGAGUUAUCUGUAGCCUUUAUUAUUGUGCAGCAUACUGAGUUAAUAUAAGAAUACACCUUCUGUUUGUAAAAUAUAAAAGUUUGGAAUGUGUCUACCACAGACACUGUCUCUUGUUUGUUCACUGGUUAAUAAUUGAAAUCCUAUUAAUGGUUGUGAAAUCUCAAUAUCUAAAUGCUAGACAUGUUCACAGUUUUGGCUGUUUUUGUUUUUUCAAAGACCCUUACCUUUUCAAUCUGGUAUUUCUUUACUUGUGGCUUUACUGUUAUCCUGUUACUUUAUGGAUUUUUAAAUAAGGAAUGUAAUUUAUUUUAAUAAUAGUUCUUAGAUAUUCUACUUUGUUAGAAAUUCUAGAUGAGAGAUAUGUGCAAUCUGUUGGUAAGACACAUCCUAUGUUGGGAUUCAUUUUUGUAACCUAAAGAUAACAAAAAGUAACCUGAGCUUUAAAGUUCUGUCUUCUCAUAUGAUUUGCAUUAGUGUCCACGUUUUAUAUAUUUAGAGUUUUUAUACUAGUGAGAAUAUUCUGUAUAUGUUUGGUGAGGCAUUUUGAUUUUAUGUAUUGGAUUUUUAUUUUAUUUUUUCUAAAUGCAGCUACCCUCUGGAAUACAAAUGGCAGAAAACCAAACAUGUUAAAACGUCAUGUGCAGAAGCAAACCAUUGCUGAUUUGAGGCGAUGGGAGUGUUUUAUAGUGAUUUUUAGAUCCAUAUCUAUUAACUUAGUUAACAUGCCACAGUAACCUUGCCAGGUGCCCACUUUCCAGGUGAGGAAGCAGGAUCAGAAAGCUCUUCAUAAAGAUCCCUGCCAUACAAGUAUCAGCAAUGAUCACUGCCCUUUAUAUGCCUCCUUCCUGGCGGGGUUUGGGGGUGGAAGGAGGGGGAGGGAGGAUGGAGAGAACAGUCACUGAAACAUCAGAGUAGUUGAGUAAUAAAAAUAAACACAGGUGUAUUGCUUUCAAGUUUUACAGUGACAUACAUAGUCUUAACUGUUUCUUAGUUUAAUUAUUUGAACCAGUUGAUUGCACUAACUAGAUGUAAUUAUAUAAAGUAUUUAGAUGAGCAUAUUGAUUUUUACAAGUAAGUCUGAGUUAUUGAGGGUACUUAAAAAUACUGAAGGAACUUUUUAGGAUAUACUUCUUUAAUUUGCAAGGUUUUUAUCGUACAGUCUUUUUAAAAAGUAAGCUCCAGCCCCUAUCCUAAGUAUUAUCUGAUUUAGGCGUACCUAAAUUUUAUUUACAGAUGGAUAAUUUUUCAUUUUGUAUGCAUAUUAGAUGAGAAAACACUUUUCAUAGAGUAUAUUUCUAUUCAUGAAUACCUAUUACCAGCUUGAUAGUCUCCCAAACCUUAUGGAACAACUUUGAAAUGUAAUUUUUGUUUGAUGAGCUUUAAAAUUUAUAUAAAUUUAUUAAACUGGUUGCUGGCAUCCUUACUAUUUUUUUUGCAUGUGUAAAUAUGAUGCAUUUGAUGGCACUGAACAGUAAUUGAAAGGAGAGAGCAGGACCCACAGUGCAGACUGGAUUGAGUUUUAGUUAAACCUUUUCAACCACAACCUGAUAAGAAUCGGGUUGGUCUAGAAGUUCUCAGACUGUGGGCCUGUAUUAAUUUUGUGAGCCAGUGUUAAUGUUUACUGCCAGCCUCACAUAGCAAUGCCAGUUUGCUGCCGCAACACUAUAUGUGACUUUUGGUAACUAUAUCUAAAGCAGUUUAGAUUUUAUGGAUGUAACUUGUGAUUAUUGGGACAAGCAGGGUAGGUAAAUUUCAGUUACAUUUAAAGUGCAAUUAAAAAAAUUCUAGAGCAGAGCUCUCUUAACCAGAAAAAGAAAGUACAGUAUUUAUAGAAUAUCCUAGCAUGAAAACUUUCGUGAGCAUUUGUAGAAUUUUGACAAAGUUCAUACAGUUUUUUUAUUUGUUUAUUCAAAGUUUGCUACUUUGUUUUGAUUUAACAUUUCAAAGAGAAAUAGGAAUGGCCAACAAGAAUUGCAUAAUUAAUUUUUGCUGCUAAUUUACACAUGUAUUUUUCAUAGUUAAUCCCUUUUUAAGUAAGUUUCAUUAUAAAGAAAGACCAUAUUUUCUAGACAAAAUAACAUUUUAUAAAAUGAAAAAUAGGUCUACUGAUCUAAAAAACAAAAACACCUUAAUUGUGCCUUGUAUUAUAGGAAGAGUAAAAAUUAGUCAAAAACUUGUUUAAACUAUAUUUUCCUUUGUUCUAAUUCCUUUCCCUGUUCCUUAUAUCUGCCUCCAUGAAUGGUCAUGUUGCUGUGUGCCCUGUUUUCAGGUUACUUUGGCCAGACCUCACCCUGUCAUCAUCACAAGUUGGUCAUUAUUCUUCUAUUCCUUUUGUGUUGCUUCACUUUUUAAGUCACCUUGAUAAAAGUUUGGCUUUCUUCUCUUGAGUGCAAUGAAUAGCAAUCUUUAUAUUUCAUCCCUUUAAAAAGUUUGUAAAGGAAAUACUGAAGAGCAAAGAACAUAAUCUAAUUUGGAAUCUUAGUCUGUUUGGCUGCUGUGUCAGCAACAAGUCACAUAACCUCAUUUUAUUUUCUCAUCUAUCAAAUGUGGUUAUAACCUACCUCACAGGUGUGUGUGAGAAACUGUUUGAAGGUCCUUGUUUAAAUACAGGGUUUAUCGUGCUCAUAUUUAAUGUAAACCCUCCCCCUUUUUUAUAGAUAUAUUUGAUACUGAUAGAAUGAGUAUCUUGAUUUUAGGUAAGUCUUAUGUGGUAAGAAUAUACAGAAAUAAUGUUUUAAGAUCACAU